ACAGGAAAGAGCCCAGGACUAAAUAUUACAGUUCCGCCAUUGGAAAAUGUGCUGUUCGAGAGGGUUUAAUUAUCCCAUGGCGUCGCUUGGUGUCCAAGUCCAUCUUAAACAAGGCCACUGACCCGCAGAGGAUGCCAGACCAGUAGUGACUAGAGCGCCAUGGAAAAACCUCUUCUUAGAGUUGGGUUAUUGAGUUAUUCGGGGCACGCGGUCGCUGCGUCAUGUCCAAUGAUGCCGGUGUGCACUUCCCUCCUAGUUGGAUGUUGCGACCCGUUGGGUGUCGAUUGACGGCUCGUACGGGAGACUGUCGUACCAAACCGGCACGGCAGACCAUCAGUGUUUUUCACCCAAUCGACUGCCUAGCUGUAUUAGAAACUUUGAAUCAAGAUUGGAAUCAAGUUGCACUUUUAAAUCCGUUCGGGUUGGCAAAUGAUUUAUUGAGUCUCGCUCGGAUUUAACGGACCUUGUGCCGUUGUCGUGCGCGCUUGGCUCUUUUAAACGCUAAUGUUUCCAAACCAACUCGGAAAAGCCUAGCGCUUUUCAAUUAAAAUUACUGGUUAGCGACGAUUUUCUUUGGAUUUUUUUAGGACCCGUCUUGAAACACGGACUAAGGAGUCUAACAUGUACGCGAGUCAUUGGGACUUGUAUUAUUUUAUUCAAAAAUAACUCAGCCUAAUUGCGCAAUGAAGGUAAAAGUUUGUGAGUUUCGUGCUCCAAGACCUAAGGAGAAUGAUUCUUGCAUGAAUAGGGAUCCGCACUCCCGGGGCAUCUCGUGCUUAUUGCGAGCUAAUUCACUCUAAGAGCGUAUACGUUGGGACCCGAAAGAUGGUGAACUAUGCUUGGUCAGAACAAAGUCAAGGGAAAUCCUGAUGGAGGUCCGUAGCGAUUCUGACGUGCAAAUCGAUCGUCAGAACUGGGUAUAGGGGUGAAAGACUAAUCGAAACAUCUAGUAGCUGGUUCCCUUUGAAGUUUACCUUAGGAUAGCUGGCACAAUUAAUUUUUAGUUUUAUCUGGUAAAGCAAAUGUUUAAAGGCCUUGGGGCCGAAACGACCUUAACCUUUUUCCAAGCUCUAAAUGGGUAAGAUCUCAGGCUUGCUUGAAUAUUAAAGCCAUGAGAUUAAUAUACAAAAAAAAAAAAUCAGAGUGCCAAGUGGGCCAAUUUUGGUAAGCAGAACUAGUGCUGUGGAAUGAACCAAACGCCGAGUUAAGGCGCCAAAGUCGACGCUUAUGAGAUACCAUGAAAGGCGUUGGUUGCUUAAGACAGCAGGACGGUGGCCAUGGAAGUCGGAAUCCGCUAAGGAGUGUGUAACAACUCACCUGCCGAAGAAACUAGCCCUGAAAAUGGAUGGCGCUAAAGCGUUGCGCCUAUGCUCAGCCGUCAGCGGCAAGUGGGGCGUUGUAAAAGCAAUUUUUUAACGUCAUGAAGCUCUUACGAGUAGGUGGGUUGCGGCGCUGUGCGCACAAGGAUCUGGGCGUGAGCCUGCCUGGAGCGGCCGUCGGUGCAGAUCUUGGUAGUAGUAGCAAAUACUUCAGCGUGAGUAGCAUAUACUGUGAGGCCCUGGAGGACUGACGUGGAGAAGGGCUUCGCGUAAAGAGCCGUUGCACACGAGUCAGUCGAUCCUAAGCCCAAGGAGAAAUUCUAUGUCGAUGACGGUGUUUAAAUUUAUUAUUUUUAAUAACUAAAAUCACACAAACUUUGGGCCAAAGGGAAAUCGGUUACAAUUCCGAAACCUGGCAGCAGAACAGCUCAAAAUUCGGGCUCUCGCAAGAGUGUUUGUCGGGGUAACCUUAAGUGAUCUGGUGACGCCAACGGGAGAUCCGGGAUAAGUUUCCUUUUCUGCAUAAGCGUUCGAGUUUCCUAAAAACUUCUAGCAGGUAGAUAGGGUUUGGAACGCGAAGAGCACUGCAGUUUUAGUGGUGUCCGGAUCUUCCUGCGGACCUUAAAAAUUAAGGAUAGGGGCACGUGGAGUACCUCUCGUUCGUACCUAUAUCCGCAGCAGGUCUUUUAGGUAAAAAGCCUCUAGUUGAUAAAAUAAUGUAGGUACGGGAAGUUUUCAAAUUGGAUCCGUAACUUCGGAAUAAGGAUUUGCUCUGAGGAGUGGGGCGUGUCGGGCUUGGUCGGAAAGCGGAGGUGGCUGACGUGCUGGGCCUGGGCGAGGUUUAAUUUGGCAGCGUAUUCCGCGCGUGCAUUUUGUUCAGGCUUUGCGUGUCGUUAUUUCGUCGUGGAUGGCGACCGAGCUCGGUACCGUGCCUUUGCUUUUCGCUGAUCUCCCUUACUGCCAGGCUUACGUGACAGUUCCGCCGUUGCGUUCGUUUUUUUUGGUCACUAUUUAAAGCUUAGCUCAGAACUGGCAAGGAUCACGGGAAUUUAACUGUCUUAUUAAAACAAAGCUUUGCUAUGGCCCUCGCGGGUAAUGACUUAUUGUGAUUUCUGCCUAGUGUUAUGAAUGUUAACGUGAAGAAAUCCAAGCAAGCGCGGUUAUGAGGUGGGAGUAACUUUGACUCAUUUUAACCUUGCUGACGGUAGGCUGGUUGCUGCCCGUCUCUGGUCGAGGGUUCAGACUCCUGCCCUAUCUCGAGAAGUUCUAUCAGAAGGCCAACCAGAUCUCUGCCAAUAGCAGUCGCAAAUAAUGCAGCCAAUGUCACCUGAGCGUUUGCCUCCAGACAAUUAUUGUCAGGAGUGUGGUCGGUAUUUCCGUGGAGCGGCCGGUCUUUAGAUCUAUUGGAGCAGAUUCUUUCUGAACUGGCGUCCCUAUGUACCACAGCCAGAUCUUUUGGUCCCGGAUCCGACUCUGGCGGCUGAUUUUAUCUGCCUGGAGUGUGGCCACCCUUUUUUUACUAAGAUCGGUUUAGGAGGACAUAGGCGCCAUGCUCAUCCCGAAAAGGUCAAUACGAAGAUCAUCGUCCAGGGCCUGACGAAGGUGUGGU
rnacentral:rRNA from 1 species